GACGAACGCUGGCGGCGUGCUUAACACAUGCAAGUCGAACGGAAAGGCCCUGCUUUUGUGGGGUGCUCGAGUGGCGAACGGGUGAGUAACACGUGAGUAACCUGCCCUUGACUUUGGGAUAACUUCAGGAAACUGGGGCUAAUACCGGAUAGGAGCUCCUGCUGCAUGGUGGGGGUUGGAAAGUUUCGGCGGUUGGGGAUGGACUCGCGGCUUACCAGCUUGUUGGUGGGGUAGUGGAUUACCAGGGCUUUGACGGGUAGCCGGCCUGAGAGGGUGACCGGCCACAUUGGGACUGAGAUACGGCCCAGACGCCUACGUGAGGCAGCAGUGGGGAAUAUUGCACAAUGGGCGGAAGCCUGAUGCAGCAACGCCGCGUGCGGGAUGACGGCCUUCGGGUUGUAAACCGCUUUCGCCUGUGACGAAGCGUGAGUGACGGUAAUGGGUAAAGAAGCACCGGCUAUCUACGUG
rnacentral:rRNA from 1 species